GCCGCGGGUGCAGUUGCGGGCAGCGCCCUCGAGGUGGAACCUUCUCACCGAGGCUGAGCUCCGCUCCCGGGCGGGCGGAGCGGCCCCGCCGGGGCUGCUCUCCCGCCUGGCGGCGUGGGGCAUCCCUGGUGGAGCGGAGCAAACUCCCAGAGCCUUCCGGCGAGGUGCUCCCGGCAGGGUCCCCUACCCUCCGGGAUGGCCCCGGCUCCGCAUUGCCGAAACCGCCGUGGUGCCUGGGGAUAAAUGGGAACUCCGCCACCCGGCAUCCGAGCUGCGAGCCAAAACCGGGGACGGGACAGAGAGCGUCGGGAAUCUGAUCCUGUGUCAUCCAUCCUGUGUCGGGGAACACGACUCCGCUGCCCUCGGAAGGUAUUAUGUUGCAUCAAGGAGACACAGAGAUUGACAUGAAAAAAGGGUGCCUGUGUCGUAACAUCAGCUCCCAAACCCCUUGGUUCUCAGGUAAAAGAUAACAAUGUUUUUAUUUAUGUAGUUAUAAAUGGAGACUCUUCUUUGAUUAUUUGGCUAAUUAUUGCAGGAGAGUGUAAAACCUAGUCUUUUGAUGUGCAAAAGGUAAAGCAUUUCAAGAAAUUCCAUCAUAAAAGGCCAAAUAAUAAAGGCACAAGCAAAACGAUGGGGAAAAAAACCCAACCACCCUUAAAAAAAUUGGUGUGUAAAUAUAGGUAGGUCAUUAAACUUCCACCAUUUCUGAGCUUCCAAUCAUUCUACACCCACAACUGCCUUAAUUUGCAGGAAGAAACUGCAAUAGAUCCGUAAUAGAUCCAAUAGUAGCUCAUGGACAGGUGUCCUACAGAGGAAAAUGAAAAGAUUUUUUUUGUUAAAAAGUCCAGAAUUUAAAUUUUAUGUCUAGAAUUCUUAGUAAAUUAUUUCAGAGCUCAAAUAACUAGUAUUUAUUGAGCUGCUCUUGGGUUUCUGCAGGGGUAGGAGUAUAAACAGCAUUCCUCCUUUGACAGUUUGGCAUAGGAAAUCAGAAUCCCCCUGGUUACCUUAUGAACAAUUUUCCAACCUACUGAGCAACUGCAGUGGUCUCCAGCUGGUAACACAGUUGUAAAAAUGCUGAUAUAAAGAAGAUUAAUCUAAAGUUCUUGUGUAUGACAAAUCCAAAAGUUGGACUGGAGAUAUUUAAAUGAUGAAAUACAAUUAGCUGCCAACAUCAAAGGAUUCCAGGCAAAGAAAAACCAACUGCAAAGAUCUCCAGCUUCCCUGUUUGAAGAUUUAGGCUAUCUGGAUUCAUGAAAGAGUUAAUAAAAAUGUCAAUGUUACUCCACAACAAACCAACCCAGAACACCUGGAUUUCAGCACUCGAAACCUUCUUGCUUAAGAAACAGGUAGGAGUUAAGGAUCCAAUAUCCAGAAAUGGAAAGAUAAAGAGAACAUUACCAAGGUGAAGGACAUUCCAGUCAGAUCAGGACUGUGAUUAGCUGAGCAAAUUAAGGCAGGCAUUUCCUCAGCAGGGGGCUGGCAUAUGACAGGAUUGUGCUCACUUGAUGGAUACAGCUGUGGAAGGAAAGGGGCUGCUGUCAUCAGCAAGUGAAAACAAAGAGCGAACUGAAGCAACCUUUCCAUUUUCACUUAAUCUAUCUUUCUGUUCUUUCACUCUCUUCUCCCACACCAUCUCUGGCCAACAAUGGUGCUUCUAAUCAGAUCAGACACCAGCUAUCUUGUACUUGAACAAUUUAUACCAUACAAAAAGCUGAGAACUAUGUUCCUUCAGAGUGCUGGCAAAAUCUAACCUGACAAAGCAAUGUAUCUUGAAACUCAGGUUUAGAGAAAGAGCUGGUGUCUGGGUCAAUCAGCUGUGAAAUUGCAAACUGAGAUCACUACGUGUCAUCAGAAAGAGUAAAUGCUAAUUUUAGAGGCAUCUAGUGUGGCAGUUUCCCCGCCCCCCCGAAUUUCUAUCCACUGCAAUGUGAUGACAUUUUACAAAUGUCUGGGCAGCAAUCUCUAAGAAAUGAACUCAAAAGUACACGGGAUAAAAUGUAUUUCAAACAAAAUGUACAGGGAAGAAGUUUUCAACAGAAGUUACUAUUAGUUCAUGCAAUGAAAAUCAUCAAUAAAAGUAUCUUCCAACAUGAAAAUAUGAAAAGUUCAUUUAUUUCCAUAGGCAACCUAAUUCAGAGUACAAAGUGAUGUGUAUUUCUCAAAACUGUCACUAUACCUUUUACAUAGCUUUAAAGUAACUAAUCUAAAAGUUGAUACAAGAAUAAUUUUGGUUUUGAAGAGCUGUCCAAUAAACCAGAUAUACACUAAUGCCAUGCUAUGACACUUCUAUUUAUGAAUCACGGCUGACACAACAUUAUCACUUUAUAAAUCUCAUGAGAAUUUCAAUGUUUUACAAUCAGAACGUAAAACUGCCACUAGUACAGACUGUACAAUUA